UCUGUAUUGAAAUCUUCCUCCAGUUAAAAAAGUGUAACCCCAAAUGUAGCAUUAAAAACACACUUUCAUCUAUCCCUUUAACUUUUGCUGUUGUGUGUUUGUUUCCUACUGUUACUCAACACACUGAAAGGGAAAUCAAAAGGGAUAUCAAAUGGUCAGUUAUGAAUCAUGACAUGCUUUGUUGGAUUUUAAGACGGGGUCAUUGCUACAUAUAUUAAUCAUGAUACAUGCUGGUUAUCCUGAAACUCGUUUUGUAUGUCAGUGUUCGAGUUUUGUCUGUCAGUGCUGCUAAAUACACCAAUAUGUCCCUCAGGAAUCCAGUGCCCAGUGCAUUGUGGGUAGCCCUCCCUACCUCCUCAACCCUCAGAUCAUCGGAGCAGAAGACGACUACUUUGACUCUCAGCAGGAGCAGAUUAAUGGACCGUGUAGCUCUUUCGAGACUUUGGAUUUACUGAAAUCUCGGCCGGCUCACCUCGCGGUCUUCCUCCAUCAUGUUGUCUCACAGUUUGACCCUGUGCCUUUGCUCUGUUAUCUCUACGCUGAAAUGCACAAGCAAACCAGCUCCAAAGAGAGCCGACGUUUCUUCAUUGAAUUCCACUCGCUCUUUAUGGAUC